UACGUAGGGGGCAAGCGUUGUCCGGAAUCAUUGGGCGUAAAGCGCGUGUAGGCGGUUACGUAAGUCUGCUGUGAAAGUCGGAGGCUCAACCUUCGAAAGCCGGUGGAUACUGCGUGACUAGAGUACGGAAGAGGAGAGUGGAAUUCCUGGUGUAGCGGUGAAAUGCGCAGAUAUCAGGAGGAACACCAACGGCGAAGGCAGCUCUCUGGGACGUUACUGACGCUGAGACGCGAAAAGCGUGGGGAGCAAACAGG
rnacentral:rRNA from 1 species